CACAAGUCUCCUUGCUUUCAGGGGACCUGGUGAUGGAGGACGCCGCAGAGAGCUACGAUGAUGUCAUCACUGCUGUGGAUGCGCACCCAGACAGUGUGGCAGGGGAGCUGGCCGAGGGAGACGCACCAGAGUACUAUGAUGAUGUCAUCACCACCCAGCAGAGCCCGGAGGCUUUUUCAGCUGCCAGUGGGAUGGACUAUGAUGAUGUGGGGGAGGAGCCACCUGAAACAGCAUUCUGAGACUUUGUGGGAGGAAGUGCCUGCCCAGCAGUUCGGAUCGCACAGCAUACAGCAAACACACAGCUAAAGGAAAAUGUUUUAAUAUAAAACCACAUCCUCCUAGAUCAGCCAUUCAUCAAUGAGUAAUUCACCUGAAAUGAUUGACAGCAGGUCCCUUAGCUUGCUCAUGAAUCAGGACAUUGAAAGUGUUGGUACUUUUACACAUUGGAUAUAGCAGCUUGCCAGAUGAUCAUGUGAUUAAAUAUGGGACAAUGGAUUGCAUUUUUAGGUAUGCAAGAAUGAAAACAAUUAUCUUUAGCCUGUGUAGGCCUUUGUUUUAGAUGUGUGUGUAUUUCCAUCAAACCCUUUCAGUUGUGGGUACUGUGUGCAUCAUGUGUGGGUCAGAGCUGUCCGUGUUGGCUCUCUGAUCGACACAUGGAUGUGUUAUCAGCCAGACAGCAGUGAUCCAGCAUCCCAACUCUCCUUGCUCCUCUGCAAGAUCACAUUUUUAAACUCUCCUUGCUCCUCUGCAAGAUCACAUUUUUAAAGAUGAUUUUAUUGUACAUAGCUGGUGAGUUCCUUGCACUGGCUGCCUUGUUACUAUACAAAACUAUUUCAUACUACGUUAGAACAGACUUUUACUUCCUUUUUAUAAAAUUGUUUUUGUUUCGAUAUUUCUUGAAGACUUACUACUAUUUUGUUAGAACAGAACUUUCUCCUGUGUGAAUUUACAAAUCUUUUCCCAGUGAUGAAAAUAUUUUCAAUAACAGAAAUAUAUAUUUUUACUACCUUUUUAUGAAAUAGUUUUAGAUAUUUUGAUUCUAUAUUUCUUGAAGACUUAUACAGCUUUUUAUUGACAGCAUUUCAUGAAAAUUAAAUAUUGUUUUACUAAAAUGCUCAAUGUAUUUCUUUGCCUUAAGCAAUACCAGUCUUUUAACAGCAGCACCUCAAUAUAUUUUCAAAUAAAGGCUUAUAGAACGAUU